UGUCGCUCGAUUUGUCGUGCCGUCUCUUUCGCUCAUGUGGAAGUGUGAAAAAAACGUUAACAAACUAGGUGAUGAUGUGAAUAAGAUAUGCACAAUUUUGUUGAUAUUUUGCAUUCAAAUUGACUAGAGUUUAGUGAAAAUGAUAUUAAAAUUAUGAGUAAGGACUGUAGGAAUGCUGCGCAACGCCGUUUAAACAACAGAUUAACAACGGGUGCUAUUCUUCAUCUAGCAGAUGAACAAAAAGUAAUGGUGUGCGACAAGAGUGACGCUGUAGGAGAUGAUUUGGAAGCGGCAGCCAACCUUCCACCGGUAUUUCCACCGUCAACUGUAUGGCGGAACAAAUCCGGCGCUAAGAGAGUUUUUGGUAUGCCAGGAGAAUCGGAAUGACUGCAAACAUGAGUUUCCCACGUCGUCAUUUACCGGCAUUCACAUAGAUGGAAAGCAGGAAAGACACCGAUAAGCGGAGAACCACAGAUGGACUGCUUACGGUUGAGCUCAUCUGUUUGCGAUAUUCAAGUGUUGCUGCUCUACUAAACCCAGUCCUCGAGCUUGCUGUGCGAUUCUGCGCACAGCGCCGUACGUCAUGUGGCAUUCAAGCACUCUUUUGACAACGCAUGCGUCCGCUAUUCAAUUACUGGAAAUAUCCGUCAAAAUAUCUGAUUCCAUCCUUCAAUGGUUAAUCCUUUUUUCGAUACAACAUGAUCGAGCAAACCGUCAAGUCCAAUGCGUUUGAAAAAAAAACGUGCGUAGAGAAAUCAUGUAAUGAGAACUCCGGACACAUGCUUUGUCAAAAAGGUGCUUAAGUGCGCCGUGAUGUACGGCCUACUGGCAUCACCCUCUUUGUGAUGUUCG